rnacentral:snoRNA from 10 species
GGCGCGCGAUGAACGAGGUGACGUCUCCGGGCGGACAGGGCCCGGCCUUCGGGGCCGCCUGAGGGAGCCGAGAAGGGCAGACGAUGAAGGCGGGCGGAUAAGCCGGGCCCUCAAAGGGUUUUGAUUCUAAUU